rnacentral:rRNA from 1 species
UACGGAGGGUGCAAGCGUUAUCCGGAUUUACUGGGUUUAAAGGGUGCGUAGGUGGGUUGGUAAGUCAGUGGUGAAAUACUUUCGCUUAACGAAGGAACUGCCAUUGAAACUGUAUGGCUUGAGUAUGAGAGAGGUGAGUGGAAUUCCCAGUGUAGAGGUGAAAUUCGUAGAUAUUGGGAAGAACACCGGUGGCGAAGGCGGCUCACUGGCUCAUUACUGACGCUCAGGCGCGACAGCGUGGGGAUCAAACAGG